GUGUCUCAAUUCAGGGUCUGCAUCCUACCUCGGCCGGAUUCGUCGGCCGGUUACGUCACAGCGCCGCGACUCGGCCUGUCCCAAUUCGAAGACUCCUUCAAAUGCGGUCGACGAAUGCGGCCUUCUUUUCGCCCGAAUGAAGGAUGGGUCGGGUGUAUCCUUCAAUAGGUAGCAUUUCCCAAGAUGCCUUGCGGGCCGGCCGGCAGAAAAACUUAAAAACAAUGGCGGACAGUGAAGCGGGAGCUGUCGGAGAGGAUUGCGCAUAUAAAUGACCAAAAGAGAAAACCAGGGAAUUUAUUAAGCUUAGGGCGGAGAUGGACCACAUGAUCACCGGAGCAAAGUAUUCGGCGGCUGUGGCAUGGAGGUACAAUAACAUCUCAUAUUUUAAAAACUCGUUUGAGUAUAUUUUUUUCUGCGAAAACAUGAAAGGAAUAACCCGUUGUCCUCUUUUCUCUUCAUGUUUCUUUUCUUACAUGUUUGUUAAGAGUAUUCUGGAGAAAAUGGGCAUCCAGGGGAAGGUGCCAGCGAUGAGCUUCUGGAGCUGAUCUGGGAGGACAUGAGGCUGCAGAGCAGCAGAGAGCACAGGAGAGAAGGAAGAACUUUGACAGCUUUUUACUUUGCUAGAAAAAAAUGGUUAAUGAAGAUUAAACAUGUACAUAUAAAAGAAAUAUCUAAAUAAAAUCAGUUCUGCAUUAAA